rnacentral:rRNA from 1 species
UACGUAGGUGACAAGCGUUGUCCGGAUUUACUGGGCGUAAAGAGCGCGCAGGCGGUCGAUCAAGUCGAGUGUGAAAGCCCCCGGCUCAACUGGGGAGGGUCAUUCGAUACUGAUCGACUCGAAGGCAGGAGAGGGUAGUGGAAUUCCCGGUGUAGUGGUGAAAUGCGUAGAUAUCGGGAGGAACAUCAGUGGCGAAAGCGGCUUCCUGGACCAGAACUGACGAUCAGGCUCGAAAGCGUGGGGAGCAAACAGG